CCUACGGGUGACAGCAGUAGGGAAUCUUUCACAAUGGGCGAAAGCCUGAUGGAGCAACGCCGCGUGCAGGAUGAAGGCCUUCGGGUUGUAAACUGCUUUUAUAAGCGAGAAAUAUGAUGGUAACUUAUGAAUAAGGAUCGGCUAACUACGUGCCAGCAGCCGCGGUCAUACGUAGGAUCCGAGCAUUAUCCGGAGUGACUGGGUGUAAAGAGUUGCGUAGGUGGCAUAAUAAGUAGCUAGUGAAAUCUGGUGGCUCAACCAUUCAGACUAUUAGCUAAACUGUUAAGCUCGAGACCGUUAGGGGUAACUGGAAUUUCUAGUGUAGGAGUGAAAUCCGUAGAUAUGAGAAGGAACACCAAUAGCGUAGGCAGGUUGCUGGGACGGUUCUGACACUAAGGCACGAAAGCGUAGGGAGCAAACGGGAUUAGAUACCCCAGUAGUC
rnacentral:rRNA from 1 species